GUGUCUGUGUGUGUUCGUGUGUGUGUCUGUCUGUCCUGGGGGAAAAGAGUGUUGGUUCAAAAUAGAAAAAGAAACACUCAGGGCACUGAAUCACAUUUUGCCCGGGAAAACAAACGAUAGAGUUGAAGGAUGGAGAAGUGGCCACGAGCUUCACUAGCCAUCUUUUGGCUUCAACUGAGCUGGGUGAGCAGUGAAGACAAGGUGAUCCAGAGCCCCCCAUCUCUGGUUGCCCAUGAGGGAGACAACUCAACUCUCAGCUGCAGCUACAAAGUGACCAGCUUUCAGAGCCUCUUUUGGUUUAAGCAAGAAGAGAAAACCCCUACCUUUUUGCUUAGACUAAUUUCAAGUGGGACUGAGAAGUCAGGAAGGUUAAAAGGCACAUUAGAUAAGAAAGAACUUCUCAGCACCCUGCACAUCACAACCACCCAGCUCGGAGACUCAGCUACCUACUUGUGUGCAGUAGAGGCACAGUGUCUUCUUGUCAGCUGCAGCCCGUACCCAAAUGCUCCAGCUGAGGCUCCUGCAACUGUUAGGUGGGGAACUUGCUAAGUCAGGCACGACCUCGAAAAGAAGCUUUAAGGAAAAGCAACUAUUAGUCAAGAUCCUUGUGCCCGUGUUGACAAUUACUGGUGUGGUUCACGGAGUCAUAUCACUGCAUUCACCACCUUCUCUGUGCUUUUCUAUGGGAAUCAACAUAGUUAAUAUUUUUAGAGGUCACUCAGAUGAUACCAACUCCACAACCACCCCAUUACGCCCUGUGGGAGAAAGAAAACCUUUUCAGAAAGAAAGCACCAACAACUGGUAUGUGCACCACCCAUCAUGGACUCUGCCUGACAGCGUCAUGGAUGGAAAAUCCAGUUUAUUUUUGGUCUGAUCUUCCCAUCUAGAACAGACACAAUUAUAG